rnacentral:rRNA from 1 species
UAGGGAAUCUUCCGCAAUGGACGCAAGUCUGACGGAGCAACGCCGCGUGAGUGAAGAAGGAUUUCGGUUCGUAAAACUCUGUUGUUAGAGAAGAACAGCGCAUAGAGUAACUGUUAUGCGUGUGACGGUAUCUAACCAGAAAGCCACGGCUAACUACGUGCCAGCAGCCGCGGUAAUACGUAGGUGGCAAGCGUUGUCCGGAUUUAUUGGGCGUAAAGCGAGCGCAGGCGGUCAAUUAAGUCUGAUGUGAAAGCCCCCGGCUCAACCGGGGAGGGUCAUUGGAAACUGGUUGACUUGAGUGCAGAAGAGGAGAGUGGAAUUCCAUGUGUAGCGGUGAAAUGCGUAGAUAUAUGGAGGAACACCAGUGGCGAAAGCGACUCUCUGGUCUGUAUCUGACGCUGAGGCUCGAAAGCGUGGGUAGCAAACAGG